GCACACAGCCGUCCCCUACAGCCACCAGCCCCCGCAGCUGCCCCUCUGGCCAGUUCUCCUGCCCCCCACCAGGGGGCUGCAUUACAGCAGAGCAGCGCUGUGAUGGGAUCGCUGACUGUCCUAAAGGAGAAGAUGAAAGCGGCUGCCACCCUCACGACCACUUCACCGCUCAGUCAGACAGGUGGAGGGUCUUGUUUUCAUUCAUUCAGUAGUGGUUGGUAAUUAGCAAGUGUGUCAUUUUAUUAACUUUGAAUCCAGUCUUAUUGCUGCUUAUUAAUCUUGUUUGUAUGUGUUUUUCUUCAAUUCCUUGUGUUGUAGUGCUAUCAUAAAGAGCUUUAGGUGUUGGAUUUACUCCUCUGUUGUUUUUUGGCAAUUCACAGACCACACACACCCACCCCUGCUCCUCUCAGGACUCCAUCUGUGUCUGCCGUCACUCGUCCUGCUGUGUCACCACCAGUAAGGAAACUUUUAAGUUCCAUAUGUGGUGUCACUGCUACUUCUGUCUGUCUCAUGUUAUUUCAUUGACUGAUGUUGAUUAAUGUUGAGUUUUCACAAAUAUUAAUUUCAAUUUCUAAUGUAUUUACAGGAUAGUGUUCCAGGGUAUCGUGGUAAGUACAACAUAUAAUUCAGCACCAUUUACAGUAAUUACAAAUACUAAUACAGGGCUUAGGCAUUGAAGUUUUAUUUUGAGCCUCAGGAUUCAUUCUUUUUUCAGGCAUCUGCUCAUCUCCUCUUGGCCUGGAGGAUGGGCGGAUUCGAUAUGGUCAGUUGACUUCAUCCUCACAUCGAGAAAACAACCCUGCUGAUGCUGGAAGACUAAACAUCAUUCCUAACAUUCCAGUAAUGGAGCCUGGAUGGAGUCCCUUGCCUGCAGAUGUCCAGCCCUAUUUUCAGGUGGACUUCCUGGAGCCCACGUGGAUAUCAGGGCUUGUGAUUCAGGGCAGUGAACGCAUGAGGGGAUACCUCACCAAAUACCAUCUGGCCUUUGCACUGCACAGCAACAGCUUCACAGACUACACCGAGAGUGGAAAACUUGGUGGUCCUGCUAAAGUGUUUGAAGUACGGAUGGUCGGCAGGAAACCCGUGACCCGCUGGCUGGACCGGCUAGUCAGAGCCCGUUACUUUCGUAUCCUUCCUGUAGAGUUCAGACACACCUUUUACCUGCGUGUGGAGGUUCUUGGCUGUAAAGGAGGUAUCAACAUUCACCCAAAUACAAAAGUGACAUCAUCAUAGUUCAGAUAUUAAUUUGAGUGUGUUCUUUCACCUGAGGUAUAAGGACGUCUUUCUAUUAUUAAUAAUAUAACUCAACUUUCCCUCUUGCCCUUGUAGAUGAGUUGUUGACCCCCAGCAGUGUGACUACACCCCCCUCUGGUGGUGGACAAGUGCCGGUGCCUCGCUGCGAGCCAGGCCAGUUUGCAUGCCAGCACAGCGAGGAGUGUGUCUCUAUCUCUGUGCUUUGUGACGGUCGACCUGACUGCAAGGACCUGUCUGAUGAGAUGGACUGUGGUGAGAGGGGAAGGAUAUUCUUUAUUCUAUUAAGUCAUGGCACACCUUGUAUACCUGCUUAUGGUUUAGUUGAGUUGAGACCAAGGGAUCACAUACAGUACUUUAAAUGUGUCUCCUCAUCCCUAUGAUCGGGUACUGCUUCAACCUUAGGCUUUCCAGGGCUGCGGAACCAGACUACUUCCACAGGAAGACCAGGUUUUCAUGGUGACAGUACAACAGGUGUCCCAGGACUCCGCACUACCAAGUCCCAGGGUGGCUUUCCUGGUCUGGCUACAUCUGGUGUGAGUGGUGAGUGUCAUUAAUUAUUGAUUAUCAGUAUCUCAGUCAAGUUGGCCACGUUGACAACUUUUGAUGUUUUAGUUUGGUUUUUACCUUAAACCUUUAUUUCACCAACCACUGUGUGUAUUUUAAAUGCGCUGUUCAUCCUUUCCACUAAACCUACAUACCCAGGCGCCACCACAGGCCAACCUGGAUUGCACCUCGCUACAACCCCUAGCUCUGGAAGGCCUGGUCUCCAAACCACUAAAGGUGUGGAGCCUACAACCUUCCUAGCUGUGCAUAGAUCAACAUUUUACCCUAGAGAAAAGAGACAAACGAUGUCACUGUUACCUCUUUUUUCUUUUUAGCCGAGUGGACCACUUCCAGCCUGCUACCCAGGGUGCUUUGUGUGGAGGGUCAAUUUGCUUGUGGACUAUUUGGCUGCAUAGACCCUGUUCAGGUGUGUGAU
ensembl:lncRNA